CUCUCAUCGAACUCAGCAGAGCUCCCGGAGUCACUUCGCUCCCACCUAAAAGUGCACUCACACUUUCGGAAAGGCCGCCGGUGUAAGAAGGGCGCUUUUAUUCCUUUGCUCGCGGCGUAGUAUAAUUUUUAAUGAUGCCCGGAGUUGUGCCGUUGGCCUGAAAGGACGGGAAUUAACGGGGCAGCUGAAAGCGCGGUUUAUUUCUCCUCUCGGAGCAAAUUAGCUGCAAUAACAAGCAAACAUCAGCAAGAGGAAGCGCUCUGUUACUCUCCUCCUUGUGUUUCACCCUGAGAGGGAAGCCCACCAGAGCCAGACGGAAGAGAUGGGGAGAGAUAACGGCACUGCAGCCUCUCCUUCUGCUGUGGGGCGCUCCAACACGAUCCCUCACUUCGGCCGGGCGGAGGAGGAGGGGGUGGGGGCGGCUCCCCCGGGACCCGCCGGGGGGGUCACUGCUCGCUCUCGUUGGGGCACACGGCCGCUGGGACGGUGGUGAAGACAGCACGAAGUGACAGCUCGGAGCUGCUGGACGGAAAGGAAAGUCAUGGAAUCGUAGAAUCGUUUGAGUUGGGAUGGACUAUUAAAGGUCUCCUGGUCCGAUUCUCCUGCAAUGAGCAUCCGCCCAGGCUUUCAAUCGAUAACGUUGCAAGCGACCUCUUCUCCCACUAUUGGGUUAAUACCGGAUCUGAAACGUAUAAAUAAUAGACGAGACGGUGACUUUUCUGAUGUAAUAUACACAGUUCUUCCAGCACAUGAUCUUGACAUGCAUAGAUACGUCUGCAUUUAAAAAGGAAGAACUUAAACGCUUAGGUGAAGUAUUCAGCUGCAAGGUUUUAACACCAAUUUUCCCACUUUCCGAAUGCUUGUUUCCAUAUCCUACAUGCUAUUAAACCAGAAAUUUCUGUUCUUUUCACAGUGCUUCUAUAAAGUACUCCCACAUCUGAAAACACUUCAUUACUGUGGUAGUGCUUUAAAUUUUAAGUAGCUAAAAUGUUCCAGAGUCUCACAGGCUGCUUCCUGUAACCACCUUAAAAUAUGCUAUUUGCAGAUACUUCUUGAUGGCUGAAGCUGAACUUUUUCAAGUCGUUUUGUGGCUUGCUUACAUUUUCAUUUUGCGAUUGUGGCCAUAUUAAUGUCCAUGGCAUUUUGGUUUAUUGCUUAGGACAACGAAUAAGACCUUUAAAGGAGGACGGAUAGAUGGAGCCAUACAUUACGAACAGCAAUGAAAUAAGGUUUCAUAGACACAGCUGUCAAAAUCAGAACUCAGAUAGGGAACCCUUAGAGAGAGCUUCUGUCUUUCAUUUCUAUCACCAGGAGCAAAUGUUAUUUUUAUUAGCUUUUGUAUAAAGACAAUCGGACUUGUAGGAGACGGUCCCAUAUGAUAUAAUCCUGCAGAACAUCUCCACUAGCAGAAUAUUGGCUCUUAAACCAAUGGCACUGAGAAAUGGAGGUUUUUCUCUACUCUCUUCAGACCCUUACAUUGUUUAUCUUUCAUUUUUCAUAGCUGGCACAGAUGAGGUCAGGCUUUUGCCCAUUAUCUUUCCUUAUUUUUACCAUGGAUGUUUAAUUUGAAUGAUGCUAAUACUUAAUUAUCAAGAGUAAAUCAGAAUUAUAAAUGAUGCUUUUGUUUCUCCUUUUUGCAGUAGAUUUCUUUGGCUCAGCAGUUGGAAAACAAAAUGCAUCUGGAUUUAUCUGGAAUCUGCUAAAGAAAACUGCUAUUCCAUUGAUUCUGAGGUUCUUGACGAGUUGCUACAAAAGGAAACUAUACACAUCAGCAGCAACUUUUUUUUUUUCUUUUUACAAUUGUUACUUAAAAUUUAGCACAGCUGUUAACCUAAUGAUGCCAAAUUGGUGGCAUACCUUGUAUAUCAAACAUACACAUCUUAAAAGAAAAACGCCAACCAUUCUGCGCAAGGUCAUCUGCUAGCACGGAAAGUCAGAUAUCCAUCAAUUUUAGCUGAGCUGACACAUCAGUGCAAGUCUGUGAUUGCACCAUGAGGGAAUUCAUUCAGCAUCUCUCUGCCUGUGAGAUGUCAGGAUUCCAUGAUACCAAAAUGGAAUGGGUGCCAAAACCCAUUUGCCCUCAUGAAUCAGGAUCAUAGUCUAUGUUACAAGGUCAAAAGGAGAGCAUCUUCUUACACACUACAAGUCCUAGUGCUGCUAGCAGAGCAGGGUGACACAGGGAGGGUAAGGAGAAUGUGACUGACAACAAGGCAGAAGACAAUGCAACCCUCUCAUCUGGGAAUAAUGCCCCCAGAAAAGUGCUGUGAUUGUUAUGGAAAUUUUUGAUGUUUUUUGGCCUCUUUACAAGAAGGCGGAUUGCGUAUAUACACACAAAACAAUAAAGCAAUCAGCAAAAAUGAAACUGAUAGGUUGCAUAGGAGGAUGUGUGGCUGAUAUAUCUAUUAUAGAGCAUGAUAUUCCACUUAUUGUACAUUUAUUGUCCCAAAUUUCCAAGUAAAACCAGAAACAGAACACUCUUCUUACAAUUAAAUUAGAUAAGCCUUGAUAGAAGUCUCAUGCACAAGAGCAAUUAUCAGUUUUAUGAGUUUAUCUUUGCAUUCAUCCUGGUCUCAGAGACUCCUGAACACACAUACCUUUCAGCAGACAGACAAUCAUAAUAUGAUCCGAUUCAGACUACAAGGUUAUCUGAAACUGAUUCAUUUCCUGUUCCAGGCUAAUACCAACAGAGGGACAGCAAAUCGUUUGCUCUGUACCAGCCCAAGCUUUUAACACUCUCAGGGAUCUGAGGUUUCACACACACUCACCAUUAAGUCUAUUAACCUAAUCAGCAGCUUUAACUGCAUCUGCAGAUAAAGCAAAGAAAUUUAUAAAUUAAUUAAUGUUGGAAAAUAAAUUUAUUCAUCAAUAUAAGAUUCUUGAUUAAAUUCGGCAAUAAAGUGUUCCUAAUAAAAUUAAUCAAAUCCUACAU
ensembl:lncRNA